CUCAACGCUCGCUCCUGCAUGCUCCCCUUUUCCCGCCACUGCCAUCUUCGAGCCUUGACCGAGGAACAACAACGCCAGAGGCCCUCGCCACCUCUUCCCACCUUUGCCCCGCAACCAACACCACGACGGUGGAGAAAGCACAGCUUAAUGCUACAACAGCAAGGAUUUUAUAGAAAAUUCUAUGUUCUGCAAAAUCUGAAGAACUGAGAAACAAAUAUUUGAACCCUAUAUAUACCUGCUACAAUUCCAG
rnacentral:lncRNA from 11 species